UUUCGAUAAAAAAAUUUUAAAAAAUAAUAUUUUUGUAAAAACGAUCACUUGUGGUCAAACAUUUCUCAAUAAUUUUGUAAUACCCAAUUAUUGACCCGACCCAAACCAUCUUAAUUGCCCCUUUUCCUUUGUAAUUAUCCUAGUAUCUCAAUUCAUCACAAUCAACUACCUCACCUCAGCUCACCGACCCGACCUCUCCAACAGCAACUCACCGACAGCUCAUCUCAGUGACCAUAGGAGAUUAUACAACCUAGGAGAUUCUGCCAGAUCUGUUAAAGAUUUUUUGACUGAACUCGAAUUUGAGAAAAGGAUUAUUUUGCUAUUUUUCUGUGACCGCUUGUCUCUUUUUCUUCUCGCUCCAACAACUCCAGAAGGACAAGAAUAUUUCUAAUACUAUAUAAAAGAUGGAAAAGUAACAACAGUAAUCUUACUGAGCUGUUUGAUGCAUACAACCUGUUCAACCUUGGUAUAAGAGGUAAAUAAUGCAUCGCCUUAAGAACAAUUUUACUUCCAUGACAACCACGCUUAUAGCGAGGGUGUGGAAAAAAUUUAGAAGAGUCUAGUUUGGCAUCUUCCUUAAAGUAUAACAUGCAACCAUUUUCACAACAAUCAAUUCUAAUCGAGGAGACACCUAACUAUGACACCAUUCUUUUUGCCUUAUAAAAAGAAUCGAAAAACUCUAAAGUGGGGUCAACUAACUCUUUAAUAAAGUCUAUCAUAGAGUCCAUUCUUCAAUCAGAUUUAAUACUUAAUAAUCUUACAACAAUAGACAAUUGAGAGUGCUAACACCCAUCAAACAAAGGAUGACGCAACAUGCAAUUCUUCAUAAAAACGGUGUGCUUCUCAAUUGGGAACAUCUUCGACAUUUUCCCUACAUUCGACCCCUUGUUGCAUCCCAAAAGCAUCAUGCACUAUUUCUGUCAUCCUAAUAUCUUGAUAGUUAUUAUGCCCUGCAGACCUAUUACUUUCACCAACAACAAAGUUAUUUUGCCCAACUUCACCAUGACUAGUAUGCAAUCUUAAAAGAUCCUCAUGAAACCUUUUUCUAUAAAGAUGAUCCUUCACAACUUCUUUUAGAAGACUUGUACCAUCACAUUUUACACAAGAACAACGAAUCGCCAGCAAGAGUGACCAGUCAUCAAGUGUUUUGGCAUGUUCGAUAAAUCGAUUGACACCUUCAACAAAUUCUACCCUAAGACCCACUCUAUUAUCCAGUGUUGUAAAAGGUGCUCGCGAAUGGCGAGGUGAGGCAUAGUCACCUCUUAUCGUCGUGGCAAGGCGAAAUUCAAAAGGCGACGCCUUUUCGAGAAAGGCGACGAUGGCGUCACCUUUUUAAUUUUUUUUAAAAAAAUAGGUUUUUAAGGUUAAAAAGUUAAUUUUUGGGCAUAUUUUCAUAUUUUGGCUAUACCAACUUACUCAUUGGCGACUGCGGCUACUACCUACUCACAACUUUCAAGUUUGACUUCAACUCUGGCGUCCGACGACUCCCCCUACUCCAGUAAGUCUUGAUUUCUAUUUUUUUCUUCUUUCUUCUUAUUCUUCUUAAUCCGACGGCUGAACAUUGACAUGCUAUUUUUUCUUCUUCCACCUUUUCUCUUCUUUUUCUAUUAUGUAAAAGCGAUACAAUGUUACAACACACUGUCACUGACUCACUGUAACAAACUAACAGUAAGCUGUAAGCACUGCAUAAAUUUAUUAUGUAAUUUUUUUUUAAUAUCUUAUAUAACAUUGUAUGACAAGGGAAAAACAACAAGUUCAAGUUAGACUUGGCCCUAGUUGAUGAAGAAUCCAAAGAGGAAGAAGAUGAGGGGCAAUAUAAUGAAAUGCAUGUUGGCAUUGAAGAUUAUGCGAAUCUUGAAGAAGAAUAAACUUUAAAGUUAUAGUACUGCUCGUUUUAUGAAUAUUGGAUUGUUGAGUAAUUCAAGUUCUAUACUUUUAGUAUUUAUUUACUGUCUAUUUUUAAUUCUUGACUUGAAAUAUUUCUUAAUAUAUUAGUACUAUUGAUAUUUUGAUCA